AUGGAAGCUCCUUCCUCUAACUCGUGUUACUCAUGCUGCAGUUCCUAGGCCCUGGACUAUGACGAGGAGCAUGUGUUGGUCGCCCCCGUGCUGGUAGUUUUGGAGCUAGCUGCUGAAGAAUGUUGGAUCUAUACCAAGGUAUCAAUGGCUCCUCCAGAUAUGCCAGCAAGGUGUUCGACAAAAGUCCAGGCAGGUUUUCACCAUGUCCCCUUUGCUACAGAUCUACAUUAGUGGCUUAUAAAAACAAUGUACCCAGGAAAGAAAAGUAC